rnacentral:tRNA from 1 species
GCCCUCGUGGUUCAGUGGCAGAAUUCCUGAUUGCCAGUCAGGGGACGGUCGGUUCGAUUCCGCCCGGGGGCUCCA